GCCGAGGUGGCGGAACUGGUAGACGCAGCGGACUCAAAAUCCGCCGGUGGAGACAUCGUAAGGGUUCGAUUCCCUUCCUCGGCA
rnacentral:tRNA from 1 species